AAGAGCAUUUCUUGUUGAUAAAAAGUACAAUAUCAAAUAUACAUUGUUACUAAGUGCUUACAAAUUGAAGCCAUGCACACUAUUAUCAUUACAGAAAUAAGACAACAAUCUAACUUAAGAGCACACAAACUACGCGUACAGAGCAACUAUCCAACAAAGUAUUCAACACAAGCUAAAAUCUUAAGUACAUCAAACUAUCAACACACAACAAAUAAAAGAUGUCCUUCCAAAUGUUCAUAUCAUACUGAAGAAGACCCUGUUUUGGACACAUGAGAUAACGCGUCCUCAAAUUGAUGCUCGUCGGGUUUGCCUGCACCUAAGCAUGGUGGAAUGAAAGAUCUGUACACAAUUUCCAUGUUCGGAACUUCCUUUAGUUCAUGGGAAACAACCUCAAGGGCUGGAGAUGUAAAGAACCGACGGAAUUUCUUCUGACAAAUGAAAGCAAAGAUCAACGAGAUGAUUGGAAGUGGAAAAAGAACUGGAGUAGGCUUGAACUUUUUAACACCAAAGUAACCUAACA
rnacentral:misc_RNA from 1 species